rnacentral:rRNA from 1 species
CGACCGGCGCACGGGUGCGUAACGCGUAUGCAACCUACCUUUAACAGGGGGAUAACACUGAGAAAUUGGUACUAAUACCCCAUAAUAUCAUAGAAGGCAUCUUUUAUGGUUGAAAAUUCCGAUGGUUAGAGAUGGGCAUGCGUUGUAUCAGCUAGUUGGUGGGGUAACGGCUCACCAAGGCGACGAUACAUAGGGGGACUGAGAGGUUAACCCCCCACACUGGUACUGAGACACGGACCAG